GGCGGACGGGUGAGUAACACGUGGGUAACCUGCCUGUAAGACUGGGAUAACUCCGGGAAACCGGGGCUAAUACCGGAUGGUUGUUUGAACCGCAUGGUUCAAACAUAAAAGGUGGCUUCGGCUACCACUUACAGAUGGACCCGCGGCGCAUUAGCUAGUUGGUGAGGUAACGGCUCACCAAGGCAACGAUGCGUAGCCGACCUGAGAGGGUGAUCGGCCACACUGGGACUGAGACACGGCCCAGACUCCUACGGGAGGCAGCAGUAGGGAAUCUUCCGCAAUGGACGAAAGUCUGACGGAGCAACGCCGCGUGAGUGAUGAAGGUUUUCGGAUCGUAAAGCUCUGUUGUUAGGGAAGAACAAGUACCGUUCGAAUAGGGCGGUACCUUGACGGUACCUAACCAGAAAGCCACGGCUAACUACGUGCCAGCAGCCGCGGUAAUACGUAGGUGGCAAGCGUUGUCCGGAAUUAUUGGGCGUAAAGGGCUCGCAGGCGGUUUCUUAAGUCUGAUGUGAAAGCCCCCGGCUCAACCGGGGAGGGUCAUUGGAAACUGGGGAACUUGAGUGCAGAAGAGGAGAGUGGAAUUCCACGUGUAGCGGUGAAAUGCGUAGAGAUGUGGAGGAACACCAGUGGCGAAGGCGACUCUCUGGUCUGUAACUGACGCUGAGGAGCGAAAGCGUGGGGAGCGAACAUGAUUAGAUACCCUUGAUAGUCCACGCCGCAAACGAUGAGUGCUAAGUGUUAAGGGGUUUCCGCCCCUUAGCUGCUGCAGCUACGCAUUACGCACUCCGCCUGGGGAGUAC
rnacentral:rRNA from 1 species